rnacentral:hammerhead_ribozyme from 1 species
AUCCAGCUGACCAGUCUCAAAUAGGACGGAACGUAUGUCCUAGAU